ACUAACCCCGCCAGAGAUAUCGACCGAACUGCACUGCACGGGGCAAAAGGAACAAAUAACCCACCCACCUUAUACUCUCUCUCUCCCACGACCUCCACCAAAUCUUUGAUCCCCUCCUAGCCAGCUUGCGCCCAAACUUCCUUCCGGCGGCGCCCGAGCUCCCUCCCCACCUUCUCCGACGCACCGUGCGCAUACCAUCCCCACCUUCUCCGGCGCACCGUGCGCAUACCAUCCCCACCUUCUCCGAUGAUGUGCCGCCCGCCACAACCUCCGACCGCGUCCCACGGGAAACACCCUCCUCUUGCUCCUGCGCCACCCAGCGAUCAUGGCUGGAUUGUGCAGCCCUCGGCCCCCGGUGUCUCAACCACCGGAUCUGGUCGCCAUAGCCAUUGGUGCAACCACAAAAAACGGAUCCGGCUGCUGGCGACCCCCUAGCCACCUUCCUUCCACCUCGCAGGACCACCCACCUCUCUCCACCUUCCUUCCGAUCCACAUCUCACCUCAUCUCCAACAGGGGCCGCGCCGCCGUCUAUGGAUUUCCACGGCUCUGCCCUGCCUGAUGCUCGUACCCCGAGACGGCUCCCUUGCGUACUUGACCAAGGGGACCAAGAGUGUUGCAUCCCCUCAUGCUCAGUAGCAUCGCCGGCAUGGGCUCGCGACGCCCCUGCCUUGCAUCGAUGUCAUCGGCCUGGGCGCCGCCAAGGCUGAUUCAGGCUGACCACCGCCAGAGCCGAGCCCCUACCUUCCCCACCUUCUCCAUGGUGCCCCGCAUCCAGAUCUACCAAGGAGGACGACGAAUGUGGUAGCUGCCACAGCUACGCAUGGAGGGUCCUGCGGGAUCCGGUUCCAUCUCACCUCGUCUUCCUUCCACCCUCAAAUCCAUAGCGAUGAGGUCACCAUUCGCCUUGGAAGUGCACAUCUUGUACUCCGUCGGUUCAGUACAUGGGUUCGUGCAGCCCGCAGCUGCAGUUUCUGGGCGAUGCAGGUUUGACUGCAGCUCCUUCCCUUCCCUGACGAGCAUCAGUUGUGGUGAAGCGUUCACUCCGUCCCCAAGUCCAGUGCAACCGCCUUCAAUGAUUGGAGGCGGUCUAUUAAGCUUGGGGAUCAAUUCAAUUUAUUUUAUUUUAUAACCUUGUAGUGCAGUUUAUUUUUGAAAGACGUCCUGUACUCGUUUUGUUGUGGGAUUGGAGUAUACAUGUAUGUUUGUAUGAUUUCGUUGCAGUUCGAGCAAUGCACUCAUGUGGUUAUGUGGUA